UUUGGAUUUGAUUUUGUUUUAGUGUUUUUGAGUUUUUUUUUUAGGUUAUGCGCUGCUUCUAAUGGUAGUACUGAAAGUGUCUACUGAUGGAUUCUGAUGAAGAAGAGAAAAAUUAACAUCUACUUAAGGAUGUUGAUGAGAAAGAUUCGCAUCUACUAAUGGAUGCUACUGAUGGGUGCCAAUGAAGAUAAGAAAGAUUGGUGUCUACUGAGGGACACCAUGGAAGAUUAGCAUCUACUGAUGGAUGCUAUGAUGGAGACUGGUCAAGCUAGUGACGUUAAAGAAGCGCCUGCUGGG
rnacentral:lncRNA from 1 species